rnacentral:rRNA from 1 species
UACGUAGGGGGCAAGCGUUGUCCGGAUUUAUUGGGCGUAAAGCGCGUGUAGGCGGCUAGAUAGGUCCGUUGUGAAAACUCGAGGCUCAACCUCGAGACGCCGGUGGAAACCAUCUAGCUAGAGUCCGGAAGAGGAGAGUGGAAUUCCUGGUGUAGCGGUGAAAUGCGCAGAUAUCAGGAAGAACACCCGUGGCGAAGGCGGCUCUCUGGGACGUGACUGACGCUGAGACGCGAAAGCGUGGGGAGCGAACAGG